GCUUGUCUCAAAGAUUAAGCCAUGCAUGUCUUAGUGUAAAUAACUCUUAUGAAACUGCGAAUGGCUCAUUAAAUCAGUUAUCAAAUACGUGAUGGUCGCCUACUACAUGGAUAACCGUAGUAAUUCUAGAGCUAAUACAUGCACAAAGGCCCACUCACGUGGGUUGUGAUUAUUAGAUUCAAACCGGCCUCGUUCUGGUGAUUCAUAAUAAUUGGUCGAACCGCAUGCCCUUGUGGUGGCGGUGAUUCAUCCUUAUUUCUGCCCUAUCAACUUUCGAUGGUACGGUAUUGGCCUACCAUGGUUACCACGGGUAACGGGGAAUUAGGGUUCGGUUCCGGAGAGGGGGCCUGAGAAAUGGCCACCACAUCCAAGGAAGGCAGCAGG
rnacentral:rRNA from 1 species